GCCUGGGUGGCUCAGUCAGUUGAGCAUCUGACUUCAGCUCAGGUCAUGAUUUCCUGGUUCGUGAGUUCAAGCCCCACAUGGGGCC
rnacentral:tRNA from 1 species